rnacentral:rRNA from 1 species
AUUGAACGCUGGCGGCAUGCCUUACACAUGCAAGUCGAACGGUAACAGGUCUUCGGAUGCUGACGAGUGGCGAACGGGUGAGUAAUACAUCGGAACGUGCCCGAUCGUGGGGGAUAACGAAGCGAAAGCUUUGCUAAUACCGCAUACGAUCUACGGAUGCAAGAAGGGGACCGCAAGGCCUUGCGCGAACGGAGCGGCCGAUGGCAGAUUAGGUAGUAGGUGGGAUCAAAGCUUACCAAGCCGACGAUCUGUAGGUGGUCUGAGAGGACGACCUGCCACACUGGGACUGAGACACGGCCCAGACUCCUACGGGAGGCAGCAGUGGGGAAUUUUGGACAAUGGGCGAAAGCCUGAUCCAGCCAUGCCGCGUGCAGGAUGAAGGCCUUCGGGUUGUAAACUGCUUUUGUACGGAACGAAAAGACUCUGGUUAAUACCUGGGGUCCAUGACGGUACCGUAAGAAUAAGCACUGGCUAACUACGUGCCAGCAGCCGCCGCCGUAA